rnacentral:rRNA from 1 species
UACGUAGGGCGCAAGCGUUGUCCGGAAUCAUUGGGCGUAAAGAGCUCGUAGGUGGUCUGUUACGUCUGCUGUGAAAACCUAGGGCUUAACCCUGGGCCUGCAGUGGAUACGGGCAGACUAGAGGUAGGUAGGGGAGAAUGGAAUUCCUGGUGUAGCGGUGAAAUGCGCAGAUAUCAGGAGGAACACCAAUGGCGAAGGCAGCACUCUGGGACGUGACUGACGCUGAGACGCGAAAGCGUGGGGAGCAAACAGG